GAUGAAGAACGCAGCGAAAUGCGAUACUUGGUGUGAAUUGCAGAAUCCCGUGAACCAUCGAGUCUUUGAACGCAAGUUGCGCCCGAAGCCAUUAGGCCGAGGGCACGCCUGCCUGGGCGUCACACGUCGUUGCCCCCCAUCUACUCCUUCGGGAUUGCGGGGGGCGGAUGAUGGCCUCCCGUGCGCCUCGUCGCGCGGUUGGCAUAAAUGCCAAGUCCUCGGCGACGCACGCCACGACAAUCGGUGGUUGCGAAACCUCGGUUGCCCGUCGUGUGCGGUCGUCGCGCAUCGAGGGCUCGAAAAAAUUGCCGGGCUCCGGCUCGGCUUUCAACGCGACCCCAGGUCAGGCGGGGUUACCCGCUGAAUUUAAGCAUAUCAAUAAGCGGAGGA
rnacentral:misc_RNA from 1 species